AGAGGGUUGGCGGAGUGGUCGAUCGCGGCAGUCUUGAAAACUGUUGACUGUAACAGGUCCGGGGGUUCGAAUCCCUCACCCUCUGCGA
rnacentral:tRNA from 1 species